ensembl:rRNA 5S_rRNA 5S ribosomal RNA
GCUUACGACCACACCGGCCUGAGUACGCCUGAUCUCGUCUGAUCUCGGAAGCUAAGCAGGGUCGGGCCUGGUUAGUACUUGGAUGGGAGACUUCCUGGGAAUAUCAGGUGCUGUAAGCU